rnacentral:rRNA from 1 species
GACGUAGGAGGCGAGCGUUAUCCGGAUUCACUGGGCGUAAAGCGCAUGUAGGCGGUUCGAUAAGUCCGCUGUUAAAGCCCCCGGCUCAACUGGGGGAGGUCAGUGGAGACUAUAGGACUUGAGGGCAACAGAGGCACGUGGGAACUCCCGGUGUAGCGGUGGAAUGCGUAGAGAUCGGGAAGAACACCAGUGGCGAAGGCGACGUGCUGGGUUGCGACUGACGCUGAGAUGCGAAAGCGUGGGGGAGCAAAACAGG